rnacentral:rRNA from 1 species
GGUCAAGUGACCAAGCGCAUGCGGUGGAUGCCUUGGCGACCACAGGCGACGAAAGACGUGGCAGCCUGCGAAAAGCUCCGGGGAGCUGGCAAACAAGCAUUGAUCCGGAGAUCUCUGAAUGGGGAAACCCACCCGCGAGGGUAUCCCGAACCGAAUCCAUAGGUUCGGGAGGCGAACCCGGGGAACUGAAACAUCUCAGUACCCGGAGGAACAGAAAGGAUGCCCUCAGUAGCGGCGAGCGAACGGGGCAGAGCCCAAA